GCAAGGAAGUUGAUGUGCCUGGAGCUGUGUUUAACAAUCACACCCCUGGGCUAUUCUUCAGGUGAGUUUGGCAUGCUUUGUGGACACAGCAAGUGCACAAAGUGCUGGAAGUCUUUCGACACAGCGCUGUGAUGGAUGCACCUCCUGACUUCGUUCUGUCCAAUGUGAGGAAGAUCUUGCAGCCUAUCCACCCUCUCCUGAUGAUGUGUACUGCAGGGCUUACAUCAUGGGCCCAGACUCAGGGCAUGCCUCAGCUGUGGUGCUCCGCAUGAUAGACAACCCACGCAGCAGGUGGGUUUGCUGAGUAAAGUCCAGGGGCUGAUCUGCUGAAAACUUGUGGGUUCCCUCUUCUUGAUGCAGCAAGCCUGGCUGUCUCUCACAAGCUCACCUGCUGCUUUGUUCUCAUUCUGAUGAGAGGGAAAGAAGAGGAGACAGGGCUCAGGGCUUCCCCUUGGGUGCCUGCACCCACAGGUACUACUUCCAUGCCUCAGAGGUGCGCGGCUGGCUGCAGAUGAUGGAGCUGAGAGCCUUGGCUGAGGAUGACAGUGGAAUGGAUGAGCAAGGUAGGAAGUUCYGGUGGCUAGCAAGYGUUGCGUGCUCCUGUGCAUCUUUGUGAAGUCACAAUGCAGAUGGGUGUGUCURWGGGUKGGUGUACURAGGUGCAUGCCUGGAGUCUCCAUGCCGACUGAAACGACACCUUCCGCACUGURAAGGCCGAAAAAAGUGUGACGUUUGAYGCAGCRUGAGUUGCAAUCCUUGAUCUGUGACAUGAYGUCAUCUCAUGACGCUUGCACAUUGCAGACACCCUUGAUGAUGCCUUUGCUGCCGAGGUGCUGGCUCAUAUGUCCACAGGGGGCAGCAGCGCCCCCCCCUCCCCCUCCUCCUCCAUCAACACCAUGCAGCCGGCAGCCAGGUCCCCCAUAUCUCAGCCACAAGC
rnacentral:lncRNA from 1 species